rnacentral:rRNA from 1 species
GACCUCUGCGUGGUAGCACAAGACUCGCACCGGAGCCCGGGCGCGGCCACGCCGUGAAAGGAACCGAACCCACCGACGUUGACCUCGGAUCAGGCAGGGGUACCCGCUGAACUUAAGCAUA